rnacentral:rRNA from 1 species
UACAGAGGUCUCAAGCGUUGUUCGGAUUCAUUGGGCGUAAAGGGUGCGUAGGUGGCGCCGUAAGUCGGGUGUGAAAUUCGAUGCUUAACUCCGAAACUGCAUUCGAUACUGCGGUGCUUGAGGACUGGAGAGGAGACUGGAAUUCAUGGUGUAGCAGUGAAAUGCGUAGAGAUCAUGAGGAAGACCAGUGGCGAAGGCGGGUCUCUGGACAGUUCCUGACACUGAGGCACGAAGGCCAGGGGAGCAAACGGG